rnacentral:rRNA from 1 species
GCAGAAUUCGCCCUUAGAGUUUGAUCCUGGCUCAGGAUGAACGCUAGCUACGGGCUUAACACAUGCAAGUCGAGGGGAAACGAUAUUGGAAGCUUGCUUCCGAUAGGCGUCGACCGGCGCACGGGUGAGUAACGCGUAUCCAACCUGCCCACCACUUGGGGAUAACCUUGCGAAAGUAAGACUAAUACCCAAUGAUAUCUCUAGAAGACAUCUGAAGGAGAUUAAAGAUUUAUCGGUGAUGGAUGGGGAUGCGUCUGAUUAGCUUGUUGGCGGGGUAACGGCCCACCAAGGCUACGAUCAGUAGGGGUUCUGAGAGGAAGGUCCCCCACAUUGGAACUGAGACACGGUCCAAACUCCUACGGGAGGCAGCAGUGAGGAAUAUUGGUCAAUGGGCGAGAGCCUGAACCAGCCAAGUAGCGUGCAGGAUGACGGCCCUAUGGGUUGUAAACUGCUUUUAUAAGGGAAUAAAGUGAGUCUCGUGAGGCUUUUUGCAUGUACCUUAUGAAUAAGGACCGGCUAAUUCCGUGCCAGCAGCCGCGGUAAUACGGAAGGUCCGGGCGUUAUCCGGAUUUAUUGGGUUUAAAGGGAGCGUAGGCCGGAGAUUAAGCGUGUUGUGAAAUGUAGAUGCUCAACAUCUGCACUGCAGCGCGAACUGGUUUCCUUGAGUACGCACAAAGUGGGCGGAAUUCGUGGUGUAGCGGUGAAAUGCUUAGAUAUCACGAAGAACUCCGAUUGCGAAGGCAGCUCACUGGAGCGCAACUGACGCUGAAGCUCGAAAGUGCGGGUAUCGAACAGGAUUAGAUACCCUGGUAGUCCGCACGGUAAACGAUGGAUGCCCGCUGUUGGUCUGAAUAGGUCAGCGGCCAAGCGAAAGCAUUAAGCAUCCCACCUGGGGAGUACGCCGGCAACGGUGAAACUCAAA